AUUGAACGCUGGCGGCAGGCCUAACACAUGCAAGUCGAGCGGAUGAAGGGAGCUUGCUCCUGGAUUCAGCGGCGGACGGGUGAGUAAUGCCUAGGAAUCUGCCUGGUAGUGGGGGAUAACGUCCGGAAACGGGCGCUAAUACCGCAUACGUCCUGAGGGAGAAAGUGGGGGAUCUUCGGACCUCACGCUAUCAGAUGAGCCUAGGUCGGAUUAGCUAGUUGGUGGGGUAAAGGCCUACCAAGGCGACGAGCCGUAACUGGUCUGAGAGGAUGAUCAGUCACACUGGAACUGGGACACGGUCCAGACUCCUACGGGAGGAAGCAGUGGGGAAUAUUGGACAAUGGGCGAAAGCUUGAUCCAGCCAUGCCGCGUGUGUGAAGAAGGUCUUCGGAUUGUAAAGCACUUUAAGUUGGGAGGAAGGGCAGUAAGUUAAUACCUUGCUGUUUUGACGUUACCAACAGAAUAAGCACCGGCUAACUUCGUG
rnacentral:rRNA from 1 species